rnacentral:rRNA from 1 species
AGCAGCCGCGGUAAUUCCAGCUCCAAUAGCGUAUAUUAAAGUUGUUGCAGUUAAAAAGCUCGUAGUUGAAUUUCAGGCCUGGCUGGGCGGUCCGCCUUUUGGGUGAGUACUGCCUGUGGUCGGGUCCUACCUUCUGGCGAAGCGUCAUGGCCUUAACCGGCCGUGGCGGGGAACCAGGACUUUUACUGUGAAAAAAUUAGAGUGUUCAAAGCAGGCAUUCGCUUGAAUACAUUAGCAUGGAAUAAUGGAAUAGGACAGUGGUUCUAUUUGUUGGUUUCUAGGACCGUUGUAAUGAUUAAUAGGGAUAGUUGGGGGCAUUAGUAUUCAAUUGUCAGAGGUGAAAUUCUUGGAUUUAUUGAAGACUAACUACUGCGAAAGCAUUUGCCAAGGAUGUUUUCAUUAAUCAAGAACGAAAGUUAGGGGAUCGAAGACGAUCAGAUACCGUCGUAGUCUUAACCAUAAACUAUGCCGACUAGGGAUCGGAUGAUGUAAUUUUUAAUGACUCAUUCGGCGCCUUACG